rnacentral:rRNA from 1 species
GAUGAACGCUGGCGGCGUGCCUAAUACAUGCAAGUCGAGCGAACGGACGAUAAGCUUGCUUCUCUGAUGUUAGCGGCGGACGGGUGAGUAACACGUGGAUCACCUACUUAUAAUACUGGGAUAACUUCGGGAAACCGGAGCUAAUACCGGAUAAUAUUUUGUACCGCAUGGUUCAAAGGUGAAAGACGGUCUUGCUGUCACUUAUAGAUGGAUCCGCGCUGCAUUAGCGAGUUGGUAAGGUAACGGCCUACCAAGGCAACGAUGCAUAGCCGACCUGAGAGGGUGAUCGGCCACACUGGAACUGAGACACGGUCCAGACUCCUACGGGAGGCAGCAGUAGGGAAUAUUCCGCAAUGGGCGAAAGCCUGACGGAGCAACGCCGCGUGAGUGAUGAAGGUCUUCGGAUCGUAAAACUCUGUUAUUAGGGAAGAACAGAUGUGUAAGUAAAUGUGCACAUCUUGACGGUACCUAAUCAAAAAGCAACGGCUAACUACGUG